UACAGAGGUCUCAAGCGUUGUUCGGAUUCAUUGGGCGUAAAGGGUGCGUAGGCGGCGCGGUAAGUCGGGUGUGAAAUCUCGGAGCUUAACUCCGAAACUGCAUUCGAUACUGCCGUGCUUGAGGACUGGAGAGGAGACUGGAAUUUACGGUGUAGCGGUGAAAUGCGUAGAUAUCGGGAGGAACACCGGUGGCGAAGGCGGCCAUCUGGACGGUAACUGACGCUGAGACGCGAAAGCGUGGGUAGCAAACGGG
rnacentral:rRNA from 1 species